UUAAGCGACUAAGCGUACACGGUGGAUGCCCUGGCAGUCAGAGGCGAUGAAGGACGUGCUAAUCUGCGAAAAGCGUCGGUAAGGUGAUAUGAACCGUUACAGCCGGCGAUGUCCGAAUGGGGAAACCCAGUGCAAUUCGUUGCACUAUCGUUAACUGAAUACAUAGGUUAACGAGGCGAACCGGGGAACUGAAACAUCUAAGUACCCCGAGGAAAAGAAAUCAACCGAGAUUCCCCCAGUAGCGGCGAGCGAACGGGGAGCAGCCAGAGUCUGAAUCAGCUUGUGUGUUAGUGGAACGGUCUGGAAAGUCCGACGGUACAGGGUGAUAGUCCCGUACACCAAAAUGCACAGGCUGUGAACUCGAAGAGUAGGGCGGGACACGUGGUAUCCUGUCUGAAUAUGGGGGGACCAUCCUCCAAGGCUAAAUACUCCUGACUGACCGAUAGUGAACCAGUACCGUGAGGGAAAGGCGAAAAGAACCCCGGCGAGGGGAGUGAAAAAGAACCUGAAACCGUGUACGUACAAGCAGUGGGAGCACCUUUAUGGUGUGACUGCGUACCUUUUGUAUAAUGGGUCAGCGACUUAUAUUCUGUAGCAAGGUUAACCGUAUAGGGGAGCCGCAGGGAAACCGAGUCUUAACUGGGCGUUAAGUUGCAGGGUAUAGACCCGAAACCCGGUGAUCUAGCCAUGGGCAGGUUGAAGGUUGGGUAACACUAACUGGAGGACCGAACCGACUAAUGUGAAAAAUUAGCGGAUGACUUGUGGCUGGGGGUGAAAGGCCAAUCAAACCGGGAGAUAGCUGGUUCUCCCCGAAAGCUAUUUAGGUAGCGCCUCGUGAAUUCAUCUUCGGGGGUAGAGCACUGUUUCGGCUAGGGGGUCAUCCCGACUUACCAACCCGAUGCAAACUACGAAUACCGAAGAAUGUUAUCACGGGAGACACACGGCGGGUGCUAACGUCCGUCGUGAAGAGGGAAACAACCCAGACCGCCAGCUAAGGUCCCAAAGUCACAGUUAAGUGGGAAACGAUGUGGGAAGGCACAGACAGCCAGGAUGUUGGCUUAGAAGCAGCCAUCAUUUAAAGAAAGCGUAAUAGCUCACUGGUCGAGUCGGCCUGCGCGGAAGAUGUAACGGGGCUAAACUGUGCACCGAAGCUGCGGCAGCGACACUAUGUGUUGUUGGGUAGGGGAGCGUUCUGUAAGCCUGCGAAGGUGGCCUGUGAGGGUUGCUGGAGGUAUCAGAAGUGCGAAUGCUGACAUAAGUAACGAUAAUGCGGGUGAAAAGCCCGCACGCCGGAAGACCAAGGGUUCCUGUCCAACGUUAAUCGGGGCAGGGUGAGUCGACCCCUAAGGCGAGGCCGAAAGGCGUAGUCGAUGGGAAACAGGUUAAUAUUCCUGUACUUGGUGUUACUGCGAAGGGGGGACGGAGAAGGCUAUGUUAGCCGGGCGACGGUUGUCCCGGUUUAAGCAUGUAGGCGGAGGUUCCAGGUAAAUCCGGUACCUUUUAACGCUGAGGUGUGAUGACGAGGCACUACGGUGCUGAAGUAACAAAUGCCCUGCUUCCAGGAAAAGCCUCUAAGCAUCAGGUAACAUUGAAUCGUACCCCAAACCGACACAGGUGGUCAGGUAGAGAAUACCAAGGCGCUUGAGAGAACUCGGGUGAAGGAACUAGGCAAAAUGGUGCCGUAACUUCGGGAGAAGGCACGCUGAUAUGUAGGUGAAGCCCCUGCGGGUGGAGCUGAAAUCAGUCGAAGAUACCAGCUGGCUGCAACUGUUUAUUAAAAACACAGCACUGUGCAAACACGAAAGUGGACGUAUACGGUGUGACGCCUGCCCGGUGCCGGAAGGUUAAUUGAUGGGGUUAUCCGUAAGGAGAAGCUCUUGAUCGAAGCCCCGGUAAACGGCGGCCGUAACUAUAACGGUCCUAAGGUAGCGAAAUUCCUUGUCGGGUAAGUUCCGACCUGCACGAAUGGCGUAAUGAUGGCCAGGCUGUCUCCACCCGAGACUCAGUGAAAUUGAACUCGCUGUGAAGAUGCAGUGUACCCGCGGCAAGACGGAAAGACCCCGUGAACCUUUACUAUAGCUUGACACUGAACAUUGAGCCUUGAUGUGUAGGAUAGGUGGGAGGCUUUGAAGCGUGGACGCCAGUCUGCGUGGAGCCAACCUUGAAAUACCACCCUUUAAUGUUUGAUGUUCUAACGUUGGCCCCUAAUCGGGGUUGCGGACAGUGUCUGGUGGGUAGUUUGACUGGGGCGGUCUCCUCCCAAAGAGUAACGGAGGAGCACGAAGGUUAGCUAAUCCUGGUCGGACAUCAGGAGGUUAGUGCAAUGGCAUAAGCUAGCUUGACUGCGAGCGUGACGGCGCGAGCAGGUGCGAAAGCAGGUCAUAGUGAUCCGGUGGUUCUGAAUGGAAGGGCCAUCGCUCAACGGAUAAAAGGUACUCCGGGGAUAACAGGCUGAUACCGCCCAAGAGUUCAUAUCGACGGCGGUGUUUGGCACCUCGAUGUCGGCUCAUCACAUCCUGGGGCUGAAGUAGGUCCCAAGGGUAUGGCUGUUCGCCAUUUAAAGUGGUACGCGAGCUGGGUUUAGAACGUCGUGAGACAGUUCGGUCCCUAUCUGCCGUGGGCGCUGGAGAAUUGAGGGGGGCUGCUCCUAGUACGAGAGGACCGGAGUGGACGCAUCACUGGUGUUCGGGUUGUCAUGCCAAUGGCAUUGCCCGGUAGCUAAAUGCGGAAGAGAUAAGUGCUGAAAGCAUCUAAGCACGAAACUUGCCCCGAGAUGAGUUCUCCCUGAGACUUUAAGUCUCCUGAAGGAACGUUAAAGACGAUGACGUUGAUAGGUCGGGUGUGUAAGCGUAGCGAUACGUUGAGCUAACCGAUACUAAUGAACCGUGAGGCUUAACCUU
rnacentral:rRNA from 1 species